UCUGAUUUCUUUUAUGGGAAAUCAUUACUUGAGUCUCAAUAUAACAUAAAAAAUAAUCUAAAAGGGGGAUUAUUUUAUUUCUAAAUGAGAUUGGAGUUUCUACACAAGUUUGUAGUAUUCCAAAGUUGUAAGAUUCAUGUCUUAUAUUUACUUCCACUAUCAACUUAGAUUUUAAUAGUGAAGAGGGAGAGGAUUCAAACUACGACGCUUUUGUAAACUUGUGUUAUAUGUAGUUGUAUAAACUAUUGAUGUGGUAUUAAGAAAGAAUGGGCAAACAUUACUAUUAUGAAAAUCCAAAAUAUUUCAUGUGUUAUAAAAAUUGAAAGGUUGAACUCUCUUUCUUAAAACUCCCUUACGAAGUGCUAUCACAUCUCCCUUUUGAUCAAUAACUUUCACAUAGAAAAAAUUCCAACAACAUAUUAGAGUUUAUCACAUUAUGUUUUCCUUUAUAUUUUCUAGUGCCAAAUUGGAUAAUCGUUUUAAUAAUGAUUGUGGACCACUAAUAAUAAGGAUUCAAGUUCAAGAUUAUCAUUGAAUUGAUCAUUUGUUGCUUCUAGAAGAUGAAUCACCUAAAUUUGCUAUUAUAAAUCUAUGAUCCUGACAACGAAGUACAAAAUCAUAUGCAAGGUCUAUGAAACAUGGUUCAGAAGAGAAAGUUCAAAAACUUCAUGAAAAAUUACCUAAUCGGAGCACUGCAAGUUUCCAGAAACUGGUGGCUCUAUGAGUUUUCCGGCGAGACUUCAGUCAGGGAUUGAUGGUACACAAUGCUAUUGGAUGAUGAUUAAAGGAGUUAGAGCGGAGAUGAAUCAAGCUUUUGAGAGCUUUGAAAAUUUUCAAAGUUUCUUCAAAGUGAAGAAACUUGAAGAUGGAGACGAAUUAAUGCAAAGCUUUAGAACUCUUUUGUCUAAUCGAUUUCUUGUCAUUUGCUGAUAGAAUGUGACUUGAUUUAUAUGCUAGGAAUUAGGUUAAAGGAUAGAAUAGGGAUUGGGUGAAAAUGCACAAAGUGUUAGUGUGAAUUUGAAUUUCAUUUGGUUUAAUUUUAAUUGGAUGUGAAUUUGGAUUUGAAAAUUUUGCAAUGUAGCGUAAAUUUACUAAUGUAAAUAUGCAUUUGGCUUGAAUUCUACAAUGUGUAGAAGC